CUGCUGCUGAUGAGACCCAACUAGGCGGAAACAGAUGUCCAGCAG
rnacentral:hammerhead_ribozyme from 1 species